rnacentral:lncRNA from 12 species
GUGAGGAGUCUAUUCUCAAUGCAAUGGCCUCUGCCUAGCCUUUUGAAGGGAAAGAUUCCAUGGAGAAGUAGAGCUUUAUGUAGUAUAAGAAGGAGUCCAGUGAACAGGAGUAUUGUGAAUUGAAGAACUGAUGUACUACUGAAUGGGACAUUCAGGUAAAAAAUUAUUCCUGGGUGAAAAAUAAAAAGAAGCAGCAUAGAAUAAUUGUCUUGCAAAGUGGCUGGAUUUGAACAAGAACAGCCCCUGAAGCAAAGAAACCUCUGAGAUGGAA